UCUUAUGUACAUGCCUGCAAUGUUAAUUCACCAUAUCCCAUCAGAAAUCCAUAGUUAAGCAUGCUUGGGCUAGACUAGUAUUGUGAUGGGUGACUGCCUAUGAAGUCCCAUUUUUUGCAUGCC
rfam:Picea glauca, whole genome shotgun sequence.